ACCUCUUUUCUCUGGGAAGAAGCAAUGACGGUACCAGAGGAAUCAGCAUCGGCUAACUCCGUGCCAGCAGCCGCGGUAAGACGGAGGAUGCAAGCGUUAUCCGGAAUUAUUGGGCGUAAAGAGUACGUAGGUGGUUAUACAAGUCUAGGGUUAAAGCCUGCGGCCUAACCGUGGAUCGGCCUUAGAAACUGUAUGACUAGAGUGUGAUAGGGGUAGCGGGA
rnacentral:rRNA from 1 species